rnacentral:rRNA from 1 species
UACGUAGGGGGCUAGCGUUAUCCGGAAUUACUGGGCGUAAAGGGUGCGUAGAUGGUUUCUUAAGUCAGAGGUGAAAGGCUACGGCUCAACCGUAGUAAGCCUUUGAAACUGGGAAACUUGAGUGCAGGAGAGGAGAGUGGAAUUCCUAGUGUAGCGGUGAAAUGCGUAGAUAUUAGGAGGAACACCAGUUGCGAAGGCGGCUCUCUGGACUGUAACUGACACUGAGGCACGAAAGCGUGGGGAGCAAACAGG